rnacentral:rRNA from 1 species
GACGAACGCUGGCGGCGUGCCUAAUACAUGCAAGUCGAACGGUUUAGUUCCAAGAGGCUUGCCUUUUGGAACUAGACAGUGGCGGACGGGUGAGUAACACGUAGGCAACCUACCUGUCAAACCGGGAUAACCUCGGGAAACCGAAGCUAAACCCGGAUAAGCUCCUUUUUCGCAUGAAGGGGGAGUGAAAAGGUGCGACCUGAUGACAGAUGGGCCUGCGGCGCAUUAGCUAGUAGGUAGGGGAACGGCCUACCUAGGCGAUGAUGCGUAGCCGACCUGAGAGGGCGUACGGCCACACUGGGACUGAGAUACGGCCCAGACUCCUACGGGAGGCAGCAGUAGGGAAUCUUCGGCAAUGGGCGAAAGCCUGACCGAGCAACGCCGCGUGAGUGAGGAUGGCCUUCGGGUUGUAAAACUCUGUUGUUUGGGAAGAAGGGAAAGGGUAGGACCCUUAGGUGACGGUACCAAACGAGAAAGCCCCGGCUAACUACGUG